ACCGCUGCCAGCUCUGACACGGAGAACUAAAAAUACUGAAAGAGCAACAAGUCACCUCCCUUUCUUCAGGAGUGAAAAAACCUGGAGUCCAGGACUAGAGUGCCUCACUGGAACUCUGAAGGGAGAGAAAAUGUGAGACAACUGGCUGAUGAGAAAGCUCUAAGAGGAAUCACACUUUGAUGAUGAGAAUGCAAUGCGGAGGGAGCGGGGAAGAGAAAGAGCAGUUAAUAACAUGAGAAAUUGGUUGUGAAGUGAAGUAAUGAAGAUCAUUACAUAGCUCAGGAGGAAUGGCCCUGAGCAUGGAUGGGAGAAACCAUGUCACCACACUUAUAAAUUCAUAACCUUUGCGUGUGUGAGAAAAUAACCCAAGUUACACAGAAUCCAACUGAAA
rnacentral:lncRNA from 1 species